rnacentral:rRNA from 1 species
AUGCAUGUCUAAGUCCAAGCUGUGUCUUGACACGGCGAGACCGCGGACGGCUCAUUAAAUCAGUCGUUGUCCAAAUGGGCCAGUACUAAUUACUUGGAUAACUGUGGUAAUUCCAGAGCUAAUACAUGCAACUUAUACCCUGAUGCUUCUCGUUCGCGCGUUGCUGACGGGUGCUUUUAUUAGACCAAACCGCUGGGGCUCUCUUCACGGAGAGCCUGAUUUGCUAUGUGGUGACUCUGGAUAACCUUUUGAUGACAAGCGCACGUACCUCUCGUAGGACGGCGCUGCCACUUUCGAGUGUCUGCCUUAUCAGCUGUCAACCGCUCGCUAUACGCGACCGAUGGCUUUGACGGGUAACGGGGAAUCAGGGUUCGAUUCCGGAGAGGCAGCCUGAGAGACGGCUACCACGUCCAAGGACGGCAGCAGGCACGCAAAUUACCCAAUCCCAGCACAUCCUGGGGGAGGUAGUGACGAAACAUAACGAAGCGUGCGCCCUUCACGGGUCUCGCUAUCGGAAUGAGCACUUUUCUAAACACCCUGUUGAGAACCUACUGAAGGGCAAGUCUGGUGCCAGCAGCCGCGGUAAUUCCAGCUUCAGUAGCAUAUAUUAAAGUUGCUGCGGUUAAAAGGCUCGUAGUUGAAUGUCUGUUCCGAAGUGCGGCAGGUGGACGUUGGAUUUGUUGUUGGCUCCUUCGCGGUGUCCAGCUCACGCUCCCGUCCGUUAACAUCCUCCGCACUCGCGUACAAAAGGGCGUCGACCGAGAGUUCGCUCUCGCAGACGCCACAGUCACCCUGAGUAAAUCAGAGUGCUCAAAGCAGUCGUAAAGGGCCUAGCCCUGUUAACACACGGAGCGUGGCUUCGUGC